UACGUAGGGUGCGAGCGUUGUCCGGUAUUAUUGGGCGUAAAGCGCUUGUAGGCGGUCUGUCGCGUCUGCUGUGAAAAUCCGGGGCUCAACCCCGGACUUGCAGUGGGUACGGGCAGACUAGAGUGUGGUAGGGGAGACUGGAAUUCCUGGUGUAGCGGUGGAAUGCGCAGAUAUCAGGAGGAACACCGAUGGCGAAGGCAGGUCUCUGGGCCAUUACUGACACUGAGAAGCGAAAGCAUGGGGAGCGAACAGG
rnacentral:rRNA from 1 species